rnacentral:rRNA from 1 species
GACGAACGCUGGCGGCAUGCCUAACACAUGCAAGUCGAACGGAACCUUCGGGUCUUGGGGCGCACGGGGGGGUAACGAGGGGGAACUAACACUUGGGUUCGGUAUACCUCCCCGAGGGGGGAGCUAAUACCGGAUGGUCUCUUACGGGAAAGGAGUUAUCGCCUUUGGGUGGGGCCGGGUAGGUUUCGGCAGUUGGGGGUGUAAUAGCGGCUCAGCAGCUUGUUGGUUGGGUGGUGCAUUACAAAGACUUUGACGGGUAGCCGGACGGAGAGGUUGACCGGGCGCAUUGGGACUGAGAUACGGCCCAGACUCCUACGGGAGGCAACAGUGGGGAAUAUUGCACAAUGGGCGGAAGCCUGAUGCAGCAACGCCGCGUGCGGGAUGACGGCCUUCGGGUUGUAAACCGCUUUCGCCUGUGACGAAGCGUGAGUGACGGUAAUGGGUAAAGAAGCACCGGCUAACUACGUG